GGGAUAUUGGACAAUGGGGGGAACCCUGAUCCAGCGACGCCGCGUGAGUGAAGAAGUAUUUCGGUAUGUAAAGCUCUGUCAGCAGGGAAGAAAUCAUGACGGUACCUGACCAAGAAGCCCCUGCUAACUACGUGCCAGCAGCCGCGGAAAUACGUAGGGGGCAAGCGUUAUCCGGAUUUACUGGGUGUAAAGGGAGCGUAGACGGCAUGGCAAGUCUGAAGUGAAAGCCCGGGGCUCAACCGCGGGACUGCUUUGGAAACUGUUAAGCUGGAGUGCAGGAGAGGUAAGUGGAAUUCCUAGUGUAGCGGUGAAAUGCGUAGAUAUUAGGAGGAAAACCAGUGGCGAAGGCGGCUUACUGGAACGUAACUGACGUUGAGGCUCGAAAGCGUGGGGAGCAAAC
rnacentral:rRNA from 1 species